UUCGUAUCAACAAAUCUGUGUACGAGUUAAUAACGCACCCUGGGUUCCCUGCAUUUUCAGUGACAGAGAACCAGAUAUAAGAAUGCAGGGAAACAAGCCUUGUUACAAGGUUUGAGGGUCUCUGCUAGAAUCAUGUGGACCCCAGUGUAACACAUCUAUGGAAAGAGAGAAAAUCUCAGCUCAAGGGUCAACAUGUCUUUAUUCCAAGAAAGAGUGUACAUAUGCCAGAAUCAUAUGGACCGCAGACUGGCCCUGGUGAUUCCGUUAAGAAAAAAGAGGAAAAAUCAGUGCUUGUGCUCAUUGGUCAUUGGACAAAGGGUGUAUGCCAGAAUUUUUUGAAGAACAGUCUGAAUCUGACAUGGAAAAAAUGAAGAAAAACAGCCUUCCUGUUUAUAAAUCUACAUUCUGACAAAGGAUCAUUUCCUUGAGAUAGGUGGAACCAACAGUCAAAUCCAGACACCUUUAAGAAAAGUAAAAAUCUGACUCAGGUAAGAAAGAAAUUCAGGAGUUCUUAAAUUGCCCUCAGAGUUCUUGGAUUGCAUCAAACUGCUAAAAGACCUCAACAAAAACAGUGUCUUGAAAAAAAAAUGAAAAUAUUCAGUGAAAAAAAAAUUAUGAGAGAAAAAGCCACUAAAAAUCUUCAAGCCUUUGAGCUGAAAUCUGGAAGUCAAUCUGUGGACUUUACUGGUAUGUCUUACUAAUUAAGUCAUCAUUUGUGUAUAAUAAAUACACUAAACUGUAAACACUUGUUAAAAUGUAUAUAAUUUUUAGAUAUAAUUUGUAGCUCACAGACAUCAAUAGUUUCAUGUAAUUUAAGUAAUAAUGAAAAUUUCCUGUUGUCUGGCUAGAUUAGAAACUAUAUAUUAUUGUCCAAUUUUGGAUAUUGUGAAAUAAUUCAUUUAGUAAAAUUGGGUAUGCAUACAUGUGUGUACACUUACAUGUAAAUUAAUUGUUAUAGCAAAUUUAAUCUAUCAUUAAGUUGAAUGUUGACUAAUGUUUUUCAUCAAAAUUGUUUACACUGAAUUGUUUGUGGAUUUUUCCAUUUGCCCAAUCAUGUCAAGGAGCACAUGGCAGAAAAUGCUUUCUCCUCCAUUGCACUUGGUGUUUUUAGAGGUCUGUGUUUGCUCUGCUCCAAUUUUGUAUUGUUUCAAUGGACUUUAAAGCUUGAUCACUUUUGGUAAUCUUCAUAUUUUAUAUACUAUUAGAGUACUUGAAGAGAACUGUAAAGAUUUAACAUACAGUAUAAUGCAUGUAUAUUGCACUUUAAGUAGAGUGUAUGUGGUUUAGAAAUGUAAUUCAUCUCAUAGUGCAUUGAAUUUGUUGAAAAUUAGAAACUUUGUUGAAAUUGUUUCAGAAUAAUG